rnacentral:rRNA from 1 species
GAUGAACGCUGGCGGCGUGCCUAAUACAUGCAAGUCGAGCGGACGGACGAGAAGCUUGCUUCUCUGAUGUUAGCGGCGGACGGGUGAGUAACACGUGGAUAACCUACCUAUAAGACUGGGAUAAAUUCGGGAAACCGUAGCUAAUACCGGAAAAUAUUUUGAACCGCAUGGUUCAAAAGUGAAAGACGGUCUUGCUGUCACUUAUCGAUGGAUCCGCGCUGCAUUAGCUAGUUGGUAAGGUAACGGCUUACCAAGGCAACGAUGCAUAGCCGACCUGAGAGGGUGAUCGGCCACACUGGAACUGAGACACGGUCCAGACUCCUACGGGAGGCAGCAGUAGGGAAUCUUCCGCAAUGGGCGAAAGCCUGAUGCAGCCACGCCGCGUGAGUGAUGAAGGUCUUCGGAUCGUAAAACACUGUUAGUAGGGAAGAACAUAUUUGUAAUUAACCCUUCACAUCUUGACGGUACCUAAUCAGAAAGCCCCGGCUAACUACGUG